rnacentral:rRNA from 1 species
UUUAAAGUCUGGCCUGCCCUAUGAAAAUUAAAUGGCUGCAGUAUUUUAACUGUACAAAGGUAGCAUAAUCAUUAGUUUUUUAAUUGAAAGCUGGAAUGAAAGGUUUGAUAAAAAAAAAUCUGUCUCUAUUUAAUUUUUAGAAUUUUAUAUUUAAGUUAAAAAGCUUAAAUAAGUUAAAAAGACAAGAAGACCCUAUAGAAUUUAAUAUUUUAAUUUUUUAAAAUUUUAGAUUUUUUUAUUUUUAAUUAGUUUAAAAUGUUUUAUUGGGGUGAUAUAAAAAUUUAUAAAACUUUUUAUUUUAAAAACCAUUUAUAUAUGAACAUUUGAUCUUAAUAUUUAGAUUAAAAGAAAAAAUUACCUUAGGGAUAACAGCGUAAUUUAUUUUUAGAGUUCAAAUUAAAAAAUAAGAUUGCGACCUCGAUGUUGGAUUAAAAUUUAAUUUUGGUGUAGAAGCUAGAAAAUUAGGUCUGUUCGACCUUUAAAAUUUUACA